rnacentral:rRNA from 1 species
UAAACGACUCUCGGCAACGGAUAUCUCGGCUCACGCAUCGAUGAAGAACGUAGCAAAAUGCGAUACUUGGUGUGAAUUGCAGAAUCCCGUGAACCAUCGAGUUUUUGAACGCAAGUUGCGCCCAAAGCCUUUUGGCCGAGGGCACGCCUGCCUGGGCGUCACGC